GAUGAACGCUGGCGGCGUGCCUAAUACAUGCCAGUCGAGCGAACGGACGAGAAGCUUGCUUCUCUGAUGUUAGCGGCGGACGGGUGAGUAACACGUGGAUAACCUACCUAUAAGACUGGGAUAACUUCGGGAAACCGUAGCUAAUACCGGAUAAUAUUUUGAACCGCAUGGUUCAAAAGUGAAAGACGGUCUUGCUGUCACUUAUAGAUGGAUCCGCGCUGCAUUAGCUAGUUGGUAAGGUAACGGCUUACCAAGGCAACGAUGCAUAGCCGACCUGAGAGGGUGAUCGGCCACACUGGAACUGGGACACGGUCCAGACUCCUACGGGAGGCAGCAGUAGGGAAUCUUCCGCAAUGGGCGAAAGCCUGACGGAGCAACGCCGCGUGAGUGAUGAAGGUCUUCGGAUCGUAAAACUCUGUUAUUAGGGAAGAACAUAUGUGUAAGUAACUGUGCACAUCUUGACGGUACCUAAUCAGAAAGCCACGGCUAACUACGUG
rnacentral:rRNA from 1 species